GAUGAACGCUGGCGGCGUGCCUAAUACAUGCAAGUCGAGCGAACGGACGAGAAGCUUGCUUCUCUGAUGUUAGCGGCGGACGGGUGAGUAACACGUGGAUAACCUACCUAUAAGACUGGGAUAACUUCGGGAAACCGGAGCUAAUACCGGAUGAUAUUUUGAACCGCAUGGUUCAAAAGUGAAAGACGGUCUUGCUGUCACUUAUAGAUGGAUCCGCGCUGCAUUAGCUAGUUGGUAAGGUAACGGCUUACCAAGGCAACGAUGCAUAGCCGACCUGAGAGAGUGGUCGGCCACACUGGAACUGAGACACGGUCCAGACUCCUACGGGAGGCAGCAGUAGGGAAUCUUCCGCAAUGGGCGAGAGCCUGACGGAGCAACGCCGCGUGAGUGAUGAAGGUCUUCGGAUCGUAAAACUCUGUUAUUAGGGAAGAACAUAUGUGUAAGUAACUGUGCACAUCUUGACGGUACCUAAUCAGAAAGCCACGGCUAACUACGUG
rnacentral:rRNA from 1 species